UACAGAGGGUGCAAGCGUUGUUCGGAAUUACUGGGCGUAAAGAGCGCGCAGGCGGUCGUUCAAGUCGAGUGUGAAAGCCCCCGGCUCAACUGGGGAGGGUCAUUCGAUACUGAUCGACUCGAAGGCAGGAGAGGGAAGUGGAAUUCCACGUGUAGCGGUGAAAUGCGUAGAGAUGUGGAGGAACACCAGUGGCGAAGGCGACUCUUUGGCCUGUAACUGACGCUGAGGCGCGAAAGCGUGGGGAGCAAACAGG
rnacentral:rRNA from 1 species